GUUUACUACAAUGAGUGUAGGUCUGACUUUGCUUUUUAUUUGCAGUACUUGGAAUUCAUGAGAUUCUUAAAAUUUGGAGUUGAUUUCCUUAUUCAUUGUGAGUAAUUAUUGUUUAUUGACUUUUUUCAUUUUUUAAAUUAACUUUUUGAACAUUGCCUUUCCUACUUUUCUCUCUUCUUUCAUUCUGUGACUGACUACAAAUAAAUUAUGCCUUCAGACUCUCUUCCUUUUGUUACCUCUUACAAUACCUUUUUCAUGUUUUCCAUCAACUUGAUUCGGUCUACUGCGUUCUUAGUGAUGUUUUUUUUCCAUCUACAUUUCCUGGUCACCAAUUCUCUAGUCAGCUGUAAUUUUUAACUUCUCUAUAUAUUUCAUUUCCACUAUUUUCUUUCCUUUCUUUUUUACUUUUUUUUUGGAACUUUGUGAAAAUCUACUUGAACAUUUUCAACAGUCUCUGAUUCUUUGCCCAUGUUUUAGAGCCCAUCAUUUAUUUCUUUGAAUGUUUUUGUAUACACUUUAUAUUUUGUUUUUGAUGACUCCAAUAUCUGAGUCCUUGAGGAUGUAAAUCUAAUACUAAUUAUUUCUGAUUUCAGUAUUUUUCUCACUCAUGGUGGCUCUUUUCCUUGUGUAUUUGAUAUUUUUCUUUCUACUGUAAGCCUAUAUUUACCAGGACUUAAUUUGUAUAUAUUCCAAGAAGCCUAAGUUGAUGAUCUUCUUUCCUGAGUGGUAUUUGUUUUUGUCUUUCUUUCUUUCUUUCUUUCUUUCUUUCUUUCUUUCUUUCUUCUUUCUGUUUCAGGUGUAGAAUUAGUGUGUUUUUUAAAUGGGCAUCAACAGCCUACUUUAAAUCAAAUUCCUGUCUUGGAGUUUCUCUGUCUGGAAUCUUUCUCUGGUUGCCAUAAUGAAUAGACUUACCUGGAGUUAGCCUAUAAUCAUAGUUCUAGGAGUAGGUUAUUACUUCUAUUGUUAUGGUAACUUUCCCACCUGUUAACUGCGGCAGACACACAGGUUUCUUCUUUGGUUCUCCUUGCUACAGACAGGAGGAUGUUUUUAAUAUCCAUAUCUUUACUGAGAAAGGGAUUCUAGUCAGCUAUCUAUCUUCAUGUUGGGGACAGGGGGCAUCCUCACUUACACCCUCCUCCUCCCAUGUUUUGGGGAUCAAAGUUCCAUGUGCUUUUUCCCAUAGGCUGUCCUUUGACACUCAGCCCUAAGUCCUGGGAUCCAUUUUGCCCUGAGGUAGCACAGCUUUAGUAUUUAUUUAUCACUCUGGUUUCAGAAUUUUGUUCCAUUGUUUUUUAGUCCCUGGGGAAUUUCUUUUCUUAUUUUUAAAUUAGUACAUUUAAAGUAAAUUUGUAAUAAUUUAUUAGUAUCUAAGUGUUUUGUGGAUGGAGGGCUUUUCAGAUGAUGUAUGUACUGUAAUGGUAAUGUAUGGAACAAUUAGUAGCAUCUCUACACAUGAGUGAUCUUAGAACAAGUCUACUUCUCCUUUCCAAAAUAAAGCCCUCAUAAAUUUGAAAAUAGCUAUUGAGAUUAAUUCCCUCGUGUCUUUUUUUUUAGUGAGUUAGACUUCCUUCUGACCCAUUACAUGUUUUUCCCCCUUUGACGUUAUUUCAUGUUUACUCAACAUAGUGACCCUUCACCUCAGAUUGCAUUUCAGUUGGCUCUGUCUCUGAACCGAGAAUUGGAAAAGACACUACAGGUAGGUGGUGGGAAGCACAGAGCAGAAUAUCAUCAUCACCUUCUUCAGACUCUUUCAUUAAUUUGGCUUAAAAGUAAAGUUGCCUCUUUUUGUGCAGAAACAUAACAAUUUUCUUGUGCUUAUGGUUUCUUAAUCCAUAUAUCUUUUGUUGAUGUUUGCUAAGCUACACUUCCCAGCUUCAUACUUGUAGAAUGGUUGUUACUAAGAUGAAUGCCAGAAACUGAUAUUUAUAGAAAUAUUGAUAUUUGCCUUUAUCAUUUUCAUCUUAUUAGGUUACACUCAUUAUCUUGGCCUCUUGUGUUCUCUUAGGAGUCUGAGGUCUAAUUUAUUUGGGGUCUCUCCUGGCUUUGAAGCACGUACAGUUAGUCAAUACUUUCUAUUCCGCACAAGUUUUCCUCAGUUAAGUUUCAUAAAUGUAUAUCAACAUAUAGUAUUCUGUUGCAAAUUUUAAGUCCCUACCAACAAAGAUAUUUCUAAAGACGGUUGGUGUGGUUCAUCUUAGAUAUAGAAUAUUAAAGAUAAAGUUAUUAAACCCAGGUGGAGAUUUAGGUCUCAGAAUAUAAACAUAUAAAAAAUAAGAUAUGCAUGUAAAUGUAAACACUGCAGGCUGGAUUAAAAUGCAAAUUAACUUUAAAUUUUAUAACUGCACGCAAAUCCGUGCUGGGUUGGGUGGUUAAAAAUUUAUUUAAUUACUUCUCACAUACAUUUAAAAUGUCUUUGAAAAAUAUGGCACAACACAGGAUAGGAGUUGCAGAAAAUUCACUUCAUCUUUAACAACCUUUGUCAAAACAUUCUUUUCCCUCAUUACCUUAAUUAAUUUGGUCACUAAUUUUAGCACAUGAAUUAGAGAAGAAAAUUUAAACCGAAACACAAUUCAUUUUAAUUGCAUGCAUUAAAAUAACUUUAAAAGAAGAGAAAAUCUUACUCAUCCCCCAAUUCCACCAGUAUUUAUUAUCUGAUUUAUUUGUGACACUAUUCUAAGAGCUGAAGAUAAAGCAGUCAAAAUCCCUGCCCUCAAGGGGCUUAAUCAGAAGACAAAUUUAAAGAAAGAAAGAAAACGAAAAAUCACAUAAUCAAAUAAAUAAUAAAAUUUAAAAAAUAGAAAAUUGAAUAUGUCAGAUUAGGGGAAGUAUUAUGAGAAAAGAAUGAUAGCGAAUAGGUAGCAUCUUUGAGGUAUAGGGGCUGUAAUUGUAAAUUGGUUGGUCAGGAAAGGCUCCCUGAAAAAAAUGACAUUUAAGGAGAGCCACAGUGUAUACUUUUAUAUGGGGAAACAAAAUACAAAAGCUUUAAGGCAUGACAAUAUGUAGACUGUUACAGCGUGUCUGAAAUAGAGUAAGGGGGGAGAUUUGAACAGCAUGAAGUUAAAGUGGAAAAGGUGGAAAAUGGCCAGAUUCUGGCUAUAUUAUGAAGAUAAAACAGAUAGAAUUCAUUAUCAGACUGGAUUUACCACGUGAAUGAAAGAGGGUUCUAUGAUGGAGCCAAAGGUUUUGGUCCGAGCAUCUGUAAUUAUGGAUCAUUCAUUGAGAUGAGAAAGGCUAGGAGGCAAUAAUGCUUGCUAGAGAGAGACUAAGAGUUUAUUUUAGACAUGCUGAGUUUGACAUGCCUAUUAAUCAUCAAGUAGAGACACCUAGUGGGCCGAAUAUCUAAGUCGGAAGUUCAAGUAACCCUGUUAUCUAUGGAGGCAUAACAAACUACUCAAAACUCAGUGGCUUAAAACAAUGAUUCGUCUCUAUUUCUUACAAUUCUGUGGAUUGACAGGGUUCAGCUGAGUGGCUCUUUUCGGGAAUCUCGUGUGGUUGCAGUCAAAUAAGGGCUGGGACUGGAGCCAUUUGAAGACUUGAACUGGUAUGUGAAGAACCCAUUCACAUAGUGCACUGUUGAUGCUGGCUGUUAGCUAGAAGCUCAGCCAGGACUAUCCUCAGAGCAUCUACCUAUGGUCUUUAAUUGUGGCUUUGGUUUGCAUUAUGGCUGGGUUCCAGGAAAGAGAUCCAUGCCAGGAGAAAGCACUUCAAAAAUCCAAAUGCAAGCUGCAGGACUUCUUAUAACCUACUCUUGGAAAUCAUACAGCCUUACUUCUGUUGUAUUCUAUUGGUCAAGAGUAAGUCACAGGGUCAGUCCAGAUUCAAGGAGAGGGAAAUAUACAAGAAUGAGAAUACCGGUAGAUACAGCUCAAGUCAUGCCACUUUUAGAGAUUAGCUACUACAAUUGGAUAUAUAGACUUAGGCAACAUUAGUCAUAUAGAUGGCAUUCAAAGCAAUGCGAUUUAAAUGAAAUCAGUAAGGAAGUAAGAAUAGAGAAAAGAAGGGGCACCUGGGUGGCUCAAUCGGUUAAGUGUCCAACUUUGGCUCAGGACAUGAUCUUGUGGUUCACGAGUUCGAGCCCUGCCUCAGACUGUAUACUGACAGCUCAGAGAUUGGAGCCUGCUUUAGAUUCUGUGUUUCCCUCUAUCUCUGUCCCUUCCCCGCCCAUGCUCUGUCUUUCUCUCAAAAAUAAAUAAAUAAUUAAAAAAUAGAGAAAAAAUAGAUAAUCCCAAACUGAUCUUUAGAAUACUCCAAGAUUUAGAGGUUGAGGAAAAGAGAAAAAGCAAACAAAGAAGAUGAAAAAGAAGGAAGACAUGGAAGGAAAAUCCUGGAUGCCAAAGGAACAGAGGAAGCUACCAUUUAUGGUGAAUGCUGAUGAUCAUUCAAAAUGGGAAAUGAGAGUUGGCCAGUCCAACAUGAAAGCCAUUGGUACAGUUUCAGGAGAGUCACAAGGACAAAAGCUUGACUGCAGUGGUUUCUUGAGAUACUUCCAUGAGAAAAGCUGGAGAGAGCCAGUAUAGAUAGCUCUUAUAAAGCUGCUUAUAAUAAAAGAAAGAGAAAAGUUAAGUAUGUGGUAAGGGACCAUAAAGUCAAAAGAUGAUUAAAAAAAUUUAUUGUGUGGUUUUGAUUUGUAGUUUCCUGAUGAGGAGUGACGUCGAGCAUUUUUUCAUGUGCCUGUUUGCCCUCUGGAUGUCUUCUUUAGAAAAGUGUCUAUUCAUGUCUUCUGCCCAUUUCUUCACUGGAUUAUUUGUUUUUUUGGGUGUGGAGUUUGGUGAGUUCUUUAUAGAUUUUGGAUACUAGCGCUUUAUCCCAUAUGUCAUUUGCAAAUAUCUUUUCCCAUUCCAUCGGUUGCCCUUUACUUUUGUUGAUUGUUUCCUUCGCAGUGCAGAAGCUUUUUAUCUUGAAGAGGUCCCAACAGUUCAUUUUUGCUUUUAACUCCCUUGCCUUUGGAGAUGUGUCAAGUAAGAAACUACUGAGGCUGAGGUCAGAGAGGUUUUUCCUGCUUUCUCCUCUAGGGUUUUGAUGGUUUCCUGUCUCACAUUCAGGUCCUUCACCCAUUUUGAGUUUAUUUUUGUGAAUGGUGUAAGAAAUUGGUCUAGUUUCAUUCUUCUGCAUGUUGCUGUCCAGUUCUCCCAGCACCAUUUGUUAAAGAGACUGUCUGUUUUCCACUGGAUAUUCUUUCCUGCUUUGUCAAAGAUUAAUUGGCCAUAGAUUUGUGGGUCCAAUUCUGGAGUCUCUAUUCUAUUCCAUUGGUCUAUGUGUCUGUUUUUGUGCCAAUACCAUGCUGUCUUGAUGAUUACAGCUUUGUAGUAGAGGUUAAGGUCUGGGAUUGUGAUGCCUCCCACUUUGGUUUUCUUCUUCAAUAUUACUUUGGCUAUUCGGAGUCUUUUGUAGUUCCAUACAAAUUUUAGGAUUGCUUGUUCUAGCUUCGAGAAGAAUGCUGGUGCAAUUUUGAUUGGGAUUGUAUUGAAUGUGUAGAUUGCUUUGGGUAGUUUUGACAUUUUAACAAUAUUUAUUCUUCUAAUCUAUGAGCACAGAAUGUUUUCCCAUUUCUUUGUGGCUUCUUCAAUUUCCUUCAUAAACUUUCUAUAGUUUUCAGCAUACAGAUCUUUUACAUCUUCGGUUAGGUUUAUUCCUAGGUAUUUUAUGUUUGCUGAAUUCAUGUAUCAGUUCUCGCAGACUUUUGGUGGAGUCUGUCGGGUUUUCCAUGUAUAGUAUCAUGUCAUCUGCAAAAAGUGAAAGCUUGGCUUCAUCUUUGACAAUUUUGAUGCCUUUGGUUUCAUUUUGUUGUCUGAUUGCUAAUGCUAGAACUUCCAACACUAUGUUAAACAAUAGCCUCACCCUGGUCAGAGUGGCUAAAAUGAACAAAUCAGGAGACUAUCGAUGCUGGAGAGAAUGUGGAGAAACGGGAACCCUCCUGCACUGUUGGUGGGAAUGCAAACUGGUGCAGCCGCUCUGGAAAACAGUGUGGAGAUUCCUCAAAAAAUUAAAAAUAGGGGCGCCUGGGUGGCUCAGUUGGUUAGGCGACCUACUUCAGCUCACAUCAUUAUCUCAUGGUUCGUGGGUUCAAGUCCGGCAUCAGACUGUGUGCUGACAGCUCAGAGGCUGGAGCCUGCUUCGGAUCUGUGUCUCCCCUCUCUCUGCCCCUCUCCUGCUCAUGCUCUGUGUCUCUCUGUCUGUCAAUAAUAAAUAAACAUUAAAAAAAAUAGAUCUACCCUAUGGCCCAGUAAUAGCCCUGCUAGGAAUUUACCCAAGGGAUACAGGAGUGCUGAUGCAUGGGGGCACUUGUACCCCAAUGUUUAUAGCAGCACUUUCAACAAUAGCCAAAUUAUGGAAAGAGCCUAAAUGUCCAUCAACUGACAAAUGGAUAAAGAAGAUGUGUUUUAUAUAUACAAUGGAAUACUACUUGGCAGUGAGAAAGAAUGAAAUCUGGCCAUUUGUAGGAACAUGGAUGGAACUGGAGAGUGUAAUGCUAAGUGAAAUAAGUCAGGCAGAGAAAGACCUUAUGUUUUCACUCAUAUGUGGAUCCUGAUAAACUCAACAGAAGACCAGCAGGAAGGAGAAGGGAGAAAAAAUGUUACAGAGAGGGAAGGAGGCAAACCAUAAGAGACUCUUAAAUAUUGAGAAUAAACUGAGGGUUGAUGGGGGGUCAGGGGGCAGGGAAAGUGGUUGAUGGGCAUUGAGGAGGGCACCUGUUGGGAUGAGCACUGGGUGUUGUAUGGAAACCAAUUUGAGAAUAAAUUUCAUAUAAAAAACAAAAAAUAAAAAAAAAAUUAAUGUUUAUUUAUUUUUGAGAGAGAGUCAGAGUGUGAGUGGGGGCGGGGCAGACAGAGAUGGAGACACAGAAUCUGAAUCAGGCUCCAGGCUGGGAGCUGUCAGCACAGAGCCACACAUGGGGCUCGAACUCAUAAGCAGUGAGAUCGUGACCUGAGCAGAUUCUGACACCCAACAGACUGAGCCACCCGGGCGCCCCAAAAAGAUGAUUUUUUAAAGAUAAGAAUGUGUUUAUAUGCUGAAAGGAAUUAUUCAAUGUAAAGAUAAAAAACAAGGAUCUAAAUUGACCAAGGAGAAUUGUUGGCUCUCUGUCCUCAAGUAGGAGAGAGAACACUAAUGGAAGGACUGACUUUAGAUUUGUUGUGUGGAAAAUGCAUCCGUUAUGAUAAGAAGAAAGGCAGGAAAAUACGGACAUUGAUACAGAUUAGCAGCUAGCUAAGAUAGUAGGGUAUUUAGAAUUUCUCUCCUGUUUGCUGGUAUUUUCUCAGUGAAGUAUCCAGUAAGGUCAUCAACAGAGCAACAGAAACAGGUGUUGGAGGUUGAGAGAGAAAUAUGAAAGAGUUAUUAAGGAAUUGUGGGAAAGUAUGUAUGGAAAGUGGAUGAAAGGAAUGCAGCAUUGUAAGGCUACAGUGGGCCCCACAUGAGGAGAGUGAUUAUGCACUUAAAAUAAGAUCAGUCCUAUAAUGUGAUAUAUAGGUAUAGAGAUUACAGAGACUGAUAGAGCAAUGCUGAGAGUGGGUAUUUUCUCUUUAGGCAUCAAAAAUAACAGGGCAAAAUUUUGGUCUCGUAUCAGAGGAAGGGAAAACUAUGUUUACUACAAUAGUUGGAUGCAAUAAUCAUUAUAAAUAAUCAGAAAUAUAGUUUCAGUAUUUUGUAACUAUUAUAACCUAUAUUCUUAAACACUCUCACAAGAGGAUUUGGACAAACAACAGCUGGAAAUAAUUUUUUAAUGAAGUUAUUAUGAUUAAGACUUUCAAAUUUUGCCUCAAACUAUGAAACCAUAGUUCCAUGAAUGGACUGGUAACUUUCUCUAUAUUUAAUGACUUAAACAUAAGGGCAAUUGUUUCAAAAGUAUACAUGCCUAGGGCCUCCUGGGUGGCUCAGUCGGUUAAUCAUCCACUUCAGCUCAGCUCAUGAUCUCAUGGUCCAUGAGUUUGAGCCCCGCGUUGGACUCUGUGCUGACAGCUCAAAGCCUGGAGCCUGCUUCAGAUUCUAUGUCCCCCCUCUCUCUUCCCCUCACUCACUCACGCUCUGAUCUCUCUCUCAAAAAUAAAUAAACAUUAAAAACAUUAAAAAAUAUAUUUUAAGUAUCUUAUUUCAAGUAGCAGGAGAAGGUUGAAAAAGUUCUCAAAGCUUGGAAACAUGACAGUAAGGGAUUAUAAUGCAAAUAGCCAUUGUGAUUCUGAAAAUGGAUUAUUUAGUUAGUUACUUAGUCUAAAUGGUUAGUGUCUAUUAUAAUUUUUGGAGAGGAAGAAAAAAUGAAAAUAAUUCACCGCUUAUAUUAAAAACAGUAAUUUCUUUUUAGUGUUGAAAAUUUGGAAAAUACAUAUAUGUGUUUUAAUUAAUUAAAUCGAAACCUUAUGAUUAAGGGAUAUUUGUGCCAGGCACGUGCUGGGUGCUGGAUAUUGGUGAGGACUAAAACCAGGCCUCCCCUUAGGAAAUUCAUAAAUAAAAGCACACAGAAAAAAAUUGAAAAAUUAUGUUUUCUCUCCUAAGUCAAAGAUCAGCUGAAAUAAAUAAAUAGUUUGGUGUAUUUCAGUAGGAUUGACCCAUUGGAAGCCUGACCACAUGCUUUUCAGAAACAUUUGGGGAACUGGCAUUUGUAUUAGUUGCACAAUUGAUAAGGUCAGGGAGCCACUUAGAUCAGACCUGAGUCAUUGAGAACUGUGGGCAUGCCUUGGUAUACUGGUAUUUACCCUAUGCAGGCAUAGAUUAUCAUACAUGGAAGGUGAUGAGAUGCGCUUUGCUCAGAUGAGAUGGUUUCAAGCACAUAUUCACACUUGCAUAUGCAGAACUGCCUCAGUCUGAUGCUUUGAGGUCUAGAUGAGCUUUGAUUGAGUUUACAGAAGAUAUGAUGUAACUCUUACUCUUUCAAAUGUGGCCUUUGAAGUUGUGUUCUAACUAAUGAAGAUGGGGAACAACAAGCAUAAGUCUCCCUCCAAGAACGCUGCUGUUCACUUUGCUACAUAGACUGGUUCCGGUUAGUUUCUUCUUUAUCUUCUGAAUAGGGAAAUCUUGUUUGAUUGUUCAGGUGUAGUCUGUAUGGAAUCCCUCUGUCAAUCUGUACUUAUUAAUUACAAUUGUUAAUAUGUUGGUUAUGAAGGGGUAUAUAUAUAUAUAUAUAUAUACACACACACAUAUAUAUGCACACAUAAUGCUCUUUAUUUGUGUACAUGUCUAUGUUUAUAAAAUACAUAUAUUUGCUGAUGUCAUAUCACCAACAGACAUAUUGUCUUUGUUACGUAAUAUAUUAUGUACACUUUUGUAUGUCCUUAUAUGUUUUUGAUAACAUGAUUUUUAAUGGGAUCACUAAAUUUAAUCUGAUGGAAACAAUACAAUUUACUUAUCCCAGCCCUUAUUUUUGGAAAUUUGGGUUCAUUCUAGUUAAUAUUAUAAGUAACACUAUGAACAUCAAUGUACAUAUUUGACUAUAUUCCUGAUGAUUUUUUGGAAUGUUAUUUUAUGUAUACUUUAUGUAAGUGAUACACAAUAAAAAUUAUUUUAAGUUUAAGAAUGCCAAAAUAUGGUUAAGAAUGUGUUAAAUUUAUAUUUCUACCUACCUUAUUAUUAUCAUAUAUAGCAUACUAUAUAAGUAAAUAUUUUCUAACUUCUUGGAUCAUGAAUGGCAUGUAACUUUUUAAAAUAUACAUUCAGAACAUCUAAUUUGAUAUUUAUCAUUUUAGUCAAUAUUUGCCAAUAUUGUUUUGUUUUAAAUAAGUUAUAUGGCCAUGAUUUAAGUGAUUUAAAUCUUACUACUUUGUUAAGAGUUCUUUGUUUAUGAACAUUAUUAGCAAUUUGUUGUUUGCUUCAUUUUGUAUACGUUUUGCUUUAUCUUUUUACACGUGUCUACAUUGUGGGCAAAUACAUCAGUCAUUCCCAUCAUGUUUAAAUACGUUUAGAAACUCCUCCAUUAUAAUAGUAGCAAAACAAUGAAUUUACAUAGAUUUCUUGUCUCUUAAUUGAUGUAAAGUAUAACUAUGUAGUUCAUCUGGAAUUUAGUUUGGUCUAAGAGAGGAAGUUAGGGUCUAACUUCUGUUUCUUCUUUUUCUUCUUUUCCUCCUCCUCUUUAUUAUUAUUGUUAUUACCAUCAUUUUCAUUAUUUGUGGUAUGUAGCAUAUAAGAUGGCCCAAAUAAUCCUUAUUUUCUGGGCAUGAACAACCUUGUGGGAGCCUCUCUUCUUAGUUCAUUUGCUUCUAGCCAAUAGAAGAGUAUUAUGUUGAAAGAUACCAUUUUCAUGAUAGAUUACCAAAGAGUCUGACUUUAUCUUUCUAGCACAAUGUCUCCCUUGAUGGCUUUGAGGAAACCAGUCACCAUGUUGGGGAGGAUCACAUGGCAAGGAACGGAAGAUGUCUGCUGGCCAUGAGCCAGCAAAGAACUGAAUCCUGCCAACAAUGAAAUGAGUUUGGUAGUAAAUCCUUCUCCAUUGAAGCCUCCAUAUAAGACCACAGGGUUGGUAGCAGCUUAAUUGCAGCCUUGUAACAGAUCCUGAAGCAGAGUAUCCAACUAAGUUGUGCCUGAUGCCUGACACUCAGAAACUGUGAAGUAAUAAAUGUUUGCUGUUAAGACACUAAUUUUUAAAAUUUGUUGUUAUAUUGUAAUAAAUAAUUUGCUGAUUUUAUUAAUAUUUUGUUAAUUACUUGUUAACACAGUAUCAUUUUAAAAAAAUUAAUGCUUAUUUAUUUUUGAGAAAGAGAGAGACAGAG
rnacentral:lncRNA from 1 species